rnacentral:rRNA from 1 species
UACGUAGGGGGCGAGCGUUGUCCGGAUUUAUUGGGCGUAAAGAGCGUGUAGGCUGUUCGGUAAGUCUGCCGUGAAAACCUGAGGCUCAACCUCGAGACGUCGGUGGAAACCGUUUGGCUAGAGUCCGGAAGAGGAGAGUGGAAUUCCCGGUGUAGCGGUGAAAUGCGCAGAUAUCGGGAAGAACACCCGUGGCGAAGGCGGCUCUCUGGGACGGUACUGACGCUGAGACGCGAAAGCGUGGGGAGCGAACAGG